rnacentral:rRNA from 1 species
UACGUAGGUGGCAAGCGUUGUCCGGAUUUACUGGGCGUAAAGAGCGCGCAGGCGGUCGAAUAAGUCGAAUGUGAAAGCCCCCGGCUUAACUGGGGAGGGUCAUUCGAUACUGCUCGACUUGAAGGCAGGAGAGGGUAGUGGAAUUCCCGGUGUAGUGGUGAAAUGCGUAGAUAUCCGGAGGAACACCAGUGGCGAAAGCGGCCACCUGGACUGUACCUGACGCUCAAACGCGAAAGCUAGGGGAGCGAACGGG